GACGAACCGUGCGACCGUUAUUCGGAAUCACUGGGCUUAAAGCGCGUGUAGGCGGACGGGGACGUCGGUCGCUGAAAUCCCCCGGCUCAACCGGGGAACGGGCGCCGAAACGCCCCGUCUCGAGGGACGUAGGGGGACCUGGAACUUCCGGUGGAGCGGUGAAAUGCGUUGAGAUCGGAAGGAACGCCCGUGGCGAAAGCGAGGUCCUGGACGUCUACUGACGCUGAGACGCGAAAGCUAGGGGAGCGAACGGG
rnacentral:rRNA from 1 species